GCCGGGCGCGGUGGCUCACGCCUGUAAUCCCAGCACUUUGGGAGGCUGAGGCGGGUGGAUCACUUGAGGUCAGGAGUUCCUAACCAGCCUGGUCAACAUGGUGAAACCCCGUCUCUA
rfam:Homo sapiens chromosome 1, GRCh38 reference primary assembly.